AUGUUUAUCCUCUUCACAUGACCACCAUACUUCUUUCGUUUUACCACCAAACCGUCCAAUUUCGCAGAAAAUGUCAGGAACACCAUCAAUUGGAUAUGAUGGUUGUAUAUUGCAAAAGUAAUCAAAUUAAUAACAUUUCAUAACAUAUGUAUAUAUAUUUUAAAUUUAUAAUUACCUGCAAGUGUUUCAUGGACAUUUCUGGAAGGAGCUCGGCAAAAGCAAAUGGAAGCAAUCGUUGCAUAAACACAUG
rnacentral:lncRNA from 1 species